AUGCUCAUGCCUCUCCUUAUUAGUUCACACUAAUGUUUCAGCUUUUACUAAAAAUUACCAUGGGGAGGGCCAUUUCAAUGAGCCUAUAGACAAAUUUUUGAAAGGCUCUGCCAAUUAUGAAACU